AUGAGGAAAUUGUGCCCCAACCUGGAGCGCGACGACGCGCUGGACACGGUGCUGGAGGUGCCCAUCCCCGAGGAGAUGUUCUCCGGCGCCGGCGGGGGCUCCCGCGGCUCCAGGUUCGGCUGCGCCAGCGUCAAGGCCUGGAUGCGCUCGCACGCCGCCGACCGCUCCGGCGCCGGCGAGCCGUGCUCCAUGAGCCGCGGCGAGCUCCAGCUCAUGCUCGGCGUCAUCGGCGCGCCGCUCAUCCCGCUCCCUGUCAGCCACGCCAAGCAGUCACCCUCCUCGGUGCUCUGCGAGCAGCUCAAGGGCGAUCCCAUUGAAUCGUCGUCGGCCAAGUACAUAGUGCAGCAGUACAUCGCGGCGUCCGGCGGGGAGUGGGCGCUGAACAAAGUGACGAGCAUGUACGCGAUGGGCAAGGUGCGGAUGACGGCCGCGGAGCUCAACAGCAGCGACGCGGACGGCAGCAGCAAUAAUGGCGGCGCCCAGCGCGGCGGGAAGAAAGGCGGCGGCAAGGGCGGCGCCGGCGGCGAGAUCGGCGGGUUCGUGCUGUGGCAGAAGAAGCCGGAGCUGUGGUGCCUGGAGCUGGUGGUGUCCGGCUGCAAGAUCAGCGCCGGCAGCGACGGCAAGGUGGCCUGGCGGCAGACGCCAUGGCACCAGUCCCACGCCUCCCGUGGUCCGCCGCGCCCGCUCCGCAGAUCGCUCCAGGGGCUUGACCCGAUGCUGACGGCGAGCCUGUUCGCGGAGGACUCGGUGUGCAUCGGCGAGCGGAGCAUCGACGGCGAGGACUGCUUCGUGCUCAAGGUGGAGGCGGAGGCGUCCAGCCUGCGCGCCCGCAACAGCAGCAGCGUCGAGAUCAUCCGCCACACCGUGUGGGGCUACUUCAGCCAGCGCACGGGCCUGCUGGUGCAGCUGGAGGACUCGCACCUGCUGCAGAUCAAGUCCGGCGGCGGCUCCGUCUUCUGGGAGACCACCAUGGAGUCGCGCCUCCGCGACUACCGCGCCGUCGACGGCGUCAACAUCGCCCACUCGGGCCGCACCGCCGUCUCGCUCGUCCGCUUCGGGGACACGCAGGACGGCAACACCCGGACGCGCAUGGAGGAGCACUGGGACAUCGAGGAGGUCGACUUCAACAUCUGGGGCCUCUCCAUGGACUGCUUCCUGCCGCCCAGCGACCUCAGGGACGGCGGCAAGGAAUCGCAGCAGCAGCAGCAGGAGGAGCUCGCCGUCGUCAAGGCCGCGCGCCCGCCGCCGCUGAGGAUACCGGCCGUGGCCGUCGUCCGCGUAGGGCCGUCGCAGGUGGCCGCCGUCAACCUGGACGAAACGGAGUCGCUGCUUGCCAGAUGA
rnacentral:rRNA from 1 species